rnacentral:rRNA from 1 species
AUUGAACGCUGGCGGCAGGCCUAACACAUGCAAGUCGAACGAGUGGCGGACGGGUGAGUGAUGUCUGGGAAACUGCCCGUGGGAGGGGGAUAAAUACUGGAAAAGGUAGCUGAUACCGCAUACCAUCGGAUGUGCCCAGAUGGGGGUAGCUUGUAGGUGAGGGAACGGCUCACCUAGGCGAAGAUCCCUAGCUGGUCUGAGAGGAUGACCAGCCACACUGGAACGGAGCCACGGGCCAGAAUCCUACGGGAGGCAGCAGUGGGGAAUAUUGCACAAUGGGCGCAAGCCUGAUGCAGCCAUGCCGCGUGUAUGAAGAAGGCCUUCGGGUUGUAAAGUACUUUCAGCGGGGAGGCGUUACCCGCAGAAGAAGCACCGGCUAACUCCGUGCCAGCAGCCGCGGUAAUUC